rnacentral:rRNA from 1 species
NACAAGCGGUGGAGCAUGUGGNUUAAUUCGAUGCAACGCGAAGAACCUUACCUAGGUUUGACAUGGACGUGGUNCCCGGGGCNAAAGCUUUGGGGACCCGCAAGGGAGCGUUCACAGGUGCUGCAUGGNUGUCNUCAGCUCGUGUNGUGANAUGUUCGGUUAAGUCCGGCAACNAGCGCAACCCUCGCCUCCAGUUACCANCGAGUAAAGUCGGGGACUNUGGAGGGACUAACCCGUUAGGGUGGGAAGGNGGGGAUGACGUCAAGUCAGUAUGGCCCUUACAUNUAGGGCUGCACACGUGCUACAAUGCCUGGUACAAAAGGAACCAAUACCGCGAGGNGGAGGAAAUCCCUAAAGCCAGGCCCAGUUCAGAUUGGAGUCUGCAACUCGACUCCAUGAAGCCGGAAUCGCUAGUAAUGGUAGAUCAGCUACGCUACCG